GGGCUGUUGCUCAGUGGUAGAGUAUUUGCUUUUCUUGCAGGAAGUCUUUGGUUCAAUUCCCAAAAUCUCCA